AAUCAACGCUGGCGGCGUGCCUAACACAUGCAAGUCGAACGCGAAAGUCCCGCAAGGGAUCAGUAGAGUGGCAAACGGGUGAGUAACACGUGGGUGACCUGCCUUCGAGCGGGGGAUAACGUCCCGAAAGGGACGCUAAUACCGCAUAACAUCCUGCCUUUGAAGAGGUGGAGAUCAAAGCUGGGGAUCGCAAGACCCGGCACUUGAAGAGGGGCCCGCGCCUGAUUAGCAGUUGGUGAGGUAACGGCUCACCAAGGCAACGAUCAGUAUCCGGCCUGAGAGGGCGGACGGACACACUGGGACUGAGACACGGCCCAGACUCCUACGGGAGGCAGCAGUGGGGAAUUGUUCGCAAUGGGGCNCAAGCCUGACGACGCAACGCCGCGUGGAGGAUGAAG
rnacentral:rRNA from 1 species